rnacentral:rRNA from 1 species
CUAAGGCUGAUGGCGACCGGCGCACGGGUGAGUAACACGUAUCCAACCUGCCGUCUACUCUUGGCCAGCCUUCUGAAAGGAAGAUUAAUCCAGGAUGGCAUCAUGAGUUCACAUGUCCGCAUGAUUAAAGGUAUUUUCCGGUAGACGAUGGGGAUGCGUUCCAUUAGAUAGUAGGCGGGGUAACGGCCCACCUAGUCAACGAUGGAUAGGGGUUCUGAGAGGAAGGUCCCCCACAUUGGAACUGAGACACGGUCCAAACUCCUACGGGAGGCAGCAGUGAGGAAUAUUGGUCAAUGGGCGAUGGCCUGAACCAGCCAAGUAGCGUGAAGGAUGACUGCCCUAUGGGUUGUAAACUUCUUUUAUAAAGGAAUAAAGUCGGGUAUGCAUACCCGUUUGCAUGUACUUUAUGAAUAAGGAUCGGCUAACUCCGUGCCAGCAGCCGCGGUAAUACGGAGGAUCCGAGCGUUAUCCGGAUUUAUUGGGUUUAAAGGGAGCGUAGAUGGAUGUUUAAGUCAGUUGUGAAAGUUUGCGGCUCAACCGUAAAAUUGCAGUUGAUACUGGAUGUCUUGAGUGCAGUUGAGGCAGGCGGAAUUCGUGGUGUAGCGGUGAAAUGCUUAGAUAUCACGAAGAACUCCGAUUGCGAAGGCAGCCUGCUAAGCUGCAACUGACAUUGAGGCUCGAAAGUGUGGGUAUCAAACAGG